UACGUAGGGUCCGAGCGUUGUCCGGAAUUACUGGGCGUAAAGCGCGCGCAGGCGGCCCGCGAGGUGUCACGUGAAAGCCCCGGGCUCAACCCGGGACGGUCGUGGCAAACCGGCGGGCUUGAGGCCGGUAGAGGUGGGUGGAACUCCUGGUGGAGUGGUGAAAUGCGUAGAGAUCAGGAAGAACACCCGUGGCGAAGGCGGCCCACUGGGCCGGUACUGACGCUGAGGCGCGAAAGCGUGGGGAGCGAACGGG
rnacentral:rRNA from 1 species